rnacentral:tRNA from 3 species
GCCCUGGUGGUGGAACUGGUAGACACGCAGGACUUAAAAUCCUGUACCUCUUUUGGUGUGCGGGUUCAAGUCCCGCCUGGGGUACAA